rnacentral:rRNA from 1 species
UACGUAGGGGGCUAGCGUUGUCCGGAAUCAUUGGGCGUAAAGCGCGUGUAGGCGGUCCGGUAAGUCCGCUGUAAAAGUCGGGGCUCGAACCUCGGAUGCCGGUGGAGUACUGUCGGGCUUGAGUACGGAAGAGGCGAGUGGAAUUCCUGGUGUAGCGGUGAAAUGCGCAGAUAUCAGGAGGAACACCGGUGGCGAAGGCGGCACUCGUGGGCCGGAGUGACUGACGCUGA